rnacentral:rRNA from 1 species
UACGUAGGGUGCGAGCGUUAAUCGGAAUUACUGGGCGUAAAGCGUGUGUAGGCGGACUUCUAAGUGCCUUGUGAAAUCCCCAGGCUCAACCUGGGAACUGCGUCCGAUACUGGAUGGCUUGAAUCCGGGAGAGGGAUGCAGAAUUCCAGGUGUAGCGGUGAAAUGCGUAGAUAUCUGGAGGAAUACUGGUGGCGAAGGCGGCAUCCUGGACCGGCAUUGACGCUGAGGAGCGAAAGCCAGGGGAGCAAACGGG